CCUCUUCCCACAGGAACCACCAUAGGAACUCCUCUUCCCUGGAAGGACCCCCUGCACCAGGCUGAGGACCCCUGGCAGGUCCCUUGCUCCAUGCCAGGGUGACACUCCUGUCCAUGUGUCCCCUGUGUCACCCUGCCAGCUGCCAAGACAUAAACUGAGUAACACUGAAGGGGGAACAGACCCCAUGGGAUCCCACCCAACACGCUGUCCUUUUCUGCAAAAAUGCUUCUUCAUAAAGCCUUGAAGCAGACAAACAGAGAUGUCACCCUUUGACAAAGCCACAAAGGAUGGUGGGGGUGGCCACAGCUCUAUCUACACCUCUCUGAUCAUGCCUUCAAAACCUAAACUCUGGGAAAGUCUGCUGCAGAAAAAACUCCUUUAGAAAGUAACUUGCUAUUCAUCCAGCCCUGUGAGUGCUAUCUACACAGAAAGCUGGGGCUGAGA